rnacentral:rRNA from 1 species
GGGAAUAUUGGACAAUGGGCGCAAGCCUGAUCCGGCAAUGCCGCGUGGGUGAAGAAGGUUUUCGGAUUGUAAAGCCCUUUUGGCGGGGACGAUGAUGACGGUACCCGCAGAAGAAGCCCCGGCUAACUUCGUGCCAGCAGCCGCGGUAAUGCGAAGGGGGCUAGCGUUGCUCGGAAUGACUGGGCGUAAAGGGCGCGUAGGCGGCUUGUACAGUCAGAUGUGAAAUUCCCGGGCUUAACCUGGGGGCUGCAUUUGAUACGUGCGGGCUGGAGUGUGGAAGAGGGUCGUGGAAUUCCCAGUGUAGAGGUGAAAUUCGUAGAUAUUGGGAAGAACACCGGUGGCGAAGGCGGCGACCUGGUCCGUGACUGACGCUGAGGCGCGAAAGCGUGGGGAGCAAACA